UAGGGAAUCUUCGGCAAUGGGGGGAACCCUGACCGAGCAACGCCGCGUGAGUGAAGAAGGUUUUCGGAUCGUAAAGCUCUGUUGUUAAGGAAGAACGAGUGUGAGAAUGGAAAGUUCAUGCUGUGACGGUACUUAACCAGAAAGGGACGGCUAACUACGUGCCAGCAGCCGCGGUAAUACGUAGGGGGCUAGCGUUGUCCGGAAUCACUGGGCGUAAAGGGUUCGCAGGCGGAAAUGCAAGUCAGGUGUAAAAGGCAGUAGCUUAACUACUGUAAGCAUUUGAAACUGCAUAUCUUGAGAAGAGUAGAGGUAAGUGGAAUUUUUAGUGGAGCGGUGAAAUGCGUAGAUAUAUGGAGGAACACCGGUGGCGAAAGCGGCUCUCUGGUCUGUAACUGACGCUGAGGCUCGAAAGCGUGGGGAGCGAACAGG
rnacentral:rRNA from 1 species